rnacentral:ncRNA from 1 species
CUUUAGAAUAGAAUGGUUAAGAGUCGCUUGGUUGGGGUUCCUUGCUAGUUCUUCGUGUUCAGUUUGCAGCUUCGGCUCAGAUUAGAUACACUUGAGAAAUGAACGUAUCCCCAUGGA